UCCCUGGUGGCUCAGACAGUAAAGAAUCUGCCUGCAAUGCUGGAGACCCAGGUUCAACUCCUGGGUUGGGAA
rnacentral:tRNA from 1 species